rnacentral:rRNA from 1 species
GACGAACGCUGGCGGCGUGCUUAACACAUGCAAGUCGAACGCUGAAGCUUGGUGCUUGCACUGGGUGGAUGAGUGGCGAACGGGUGAGUAAUACGUGAGUAACCUGCCCUUGACUCUGGGAUAAGCCUGGGAAACUGGGUCUAAUACUGGAUACGACAUGUCACCGCAUGGUGGUGUGUGGAAAGGGUUUUACUGGUUUUGGAUGGGCUCACGGCCUAUCAGCUUGUUGGGGGGGUAAUGGCCCACCAAGGCGACGACGGGUAGUCGGCCUGAGAGGGUGGCCGGCCACACUGGGACUGAGACACGGCCCAGACUCCUACGGGAGGCAACAGUGGGGAAUAUUGCACAAUGGGCGGAAGCCUGAUGCAGCGACGCCGCGUGAGGGAUGACGGCCUUCGGGUUGUAAACCUCUUUCAGCACGGAAGAAGCGAAAGUGACGGUACGUGCAGAAGAAGCGCCGGCUAACUACGUG